rnacentral:rRNA from 1 species
UUGACACUGAACAUUGAGCCUUGAUGUGUAGGAUAGGUGGGAGGCUUUGAAGUGUGGACGCCAGUCUGCAUGGAGCCGACCUUGAAAUACCACCCUUUAAUGUUUGAUGUUCUAACGUGGACCCGUGAUCCGGGUUGCGGACAGUGUCUGGUGGGUAGUUUGACUGGGGCGGUCUCCUCCUAAAGAGUAACGGAGGAGCACGAAGGUUGGCUAAUCCUGGUCGGACAUCAGGAGGUUAGUGCAAUG